AAUCAACGCUGGCGGCGUGCCUCAGACAUGCAAGUCGAACGAUUAAAGCUCUCUUCGGAGAGUGCAUAGAGUGGCGCACGGGUGAGUAACACGUAAGUAAUCUACCUUCGAGUGGGGAAUAACGUCCGGAAACGGACGCUAAUACCGCAUAAUGCAGCGGCAUCGCAAGAUGACAGUUGUUAAAGGAGCAAUCCGCUUGAAGAGGAGCUUGCGGCAGAUUAGCUUGUUGGUAAGGUAACGGCUUACCAAGGCUACGAUCUGUAUCCGGUCUAAGAGGACGGUCGGACACACUGACACUGAAUAACGGGUCAGACUCCUACGGGAGGCAGCAGUCGGGAAUUUUGGGCAAUGGGGAAACCCUGACCCAGCAACGCCGCGUGAAGGAUGAAGUAUUUCGGUAUGUAAACUUCGAAAGAAUAGGAAGAAUAAAUGACGGUACUAUUUAUAAGGUCCGGCUAACUACGUGCCAGCCGCCGCUGUAAU
rnacentral:rRNA from 1 species